UGCAAGUCUGGUGCCAGCAGCCGCGGUAAUUCCAGCUCCAAUAGCGUAUAUUAAAGUUGUUGCAGUUAAAAAGCUCGUAGUUGAACCUUGGGUCUGGCUGGCCGGUCCGCCUCACCGCGAGUACUGGUCCGGCUGGACCUUUCCUUCUGGGGAACCUCAUGGCCUUCACUGGCUGUGGGGGGAACCAGGACUUUUACUGUGAAAAAAUUAGAGUGUUCAAAGCAGGCCUUUGCUCGAAUACAUUAGCAUGGAAUAAUAGAAUAGGACGUGCGGUUCUAUUUUGUUGGUUUCUAGGACCGCCGUAAUGAUUAAUAGGGAUAGUCGGGGGCGUCAGUAUUCAGCUGUCAGAGGUGAAAUUCUUGGAUUUGCUGAAGACUAACUACUGCGAAAGCAUUUGCCAA
rnacentral:rRNA from 1 species